UACGGGGGGGGCAAGCGUUGUUCGGAAUUACUGGGCGUAAAGCGCACGUAGUCGGCUUUGCAAGUCGGGUGUGAAAUCCCCGGGCUCAACCUGGGAACUGCAUCCGAGACUGCAUUGCUAGAGUAUGGGAGAGGGAAGCGGAAUUUCUGGUGUAGCAGUGAAAUGCGUAGAUAUCGGAAGGAACACCAGUGGCGAAAGCGGCUUCCUGGUCCAGCACCGACGUUCAGGCACGAAAGCGUGGGGAGCAAACAGG
rnacentral:rRNA from 1 species